rnacentral:rRNA from 1 species
GAGUUUGAUCGUGGCUCAGAUUGAACGCUGGCGGCAGGCCUAACACAUGCAAGUCGGGCGGUAGAGAGAAGCUUGCUUCUCUUGAGAGCGGCGGACGGGUGAGUAAUGCCUAGGAAUCUGCCUGGUAGUGGGGGAUAACGCUCGGAAACGGACGCUAAUACCGCAUACGUCCUACGGGAGAAAGCAGGGGACCUUCGGGCCUUGCGCUAUCAGAUGAGCCUAGGUCGGAUUAGCUAGUUGGUGAGGUAAUGGCUCACCAAGGCGACGAUCCGUAACUGGUCUGAGAGGAUGAUCAGUCACACUGGAACUGAGACACGGUCCAGACUCCUACGGGAGGCAGCAGUGGGGAAUAUUGGACAAUGGGCGAAAGCCUGAUCCAGCCAUGCCGCGUGUGUGAAGAAGGUCUUCGGAUUGUAAAGCACUUUAAGUUGGGAGGAAGGGCAGUAAAUUAAUACUUUGCUGUUUUGACGUUACCGACAGAAUAAGCACCGGCUAACUCUGUG